rnacentral:lncRNA from 1 species
UCAAUCGUUGUUGGUUGCGCUGUGCACGGUGUGUUGUAUUCACUUAAAAUUGAACACUUGGUGUGUUGAAUUCACUUUAAUUAAAAUGUGAACACUUGGGACAUUCUAGUCACCUGAUAACAGUGAGAAAUAACCCAUAUUAAACCAAUACAGGGCUCCGCCGAUUAUCAGCGUUAGCAUGGCCUCACCGUCUGUUUCACCCGGUGUCUUUGUUCAGCGUGUGAAAUGUUUAGUUACUCCUCUGCCUCCUUUAGUGAAGGGAAUAGGUGCAGAAAGUGGAGUUUAUUUAAGGCUAUGGAGGCGAGACUUAAUGAGAUUGAGACGCGGUUCCGCAGCUCGGAGUUGCGUCAGGUAGCCAGGAGAAGCUAGCUGCUGCGGAGCCGCCUAGCGUAGCUACAGCUAGCGGUCCCCCGGCAGCAGCCAGGGCGGCUGGGUGACGGUGCGCAGGACUCCAGCGACCAUAGCACACGCCUGAGGAGCUCAACACUCUUGUACCACACUGGUGACCAGCAGACGCAUCAAUGGCACAGCGAGGAACCCAGCAGCUGAAGGCAGAGCAAGAAUCAUCAAUGGAGACUUGGAGGGAAGAGAGGGUCCAGCACCUCAGAGAAGCCCUGGCAGAGAAGGAGGAGCAGCUCAGCAGGGCAGUGAAGAGGCGACACAUGAGGACUGUGGCCGAUGUGGAGACCCUGACCCAGCUGAACACCACGCAAGCUGCUCUGAAGGAGAGCAACCUCAAAUGUGCUUCUCUGGAGGAAACCCUCCACAGUCAGCAGCAGGACUGUGGAGGGUUCUAAAAGAAAAAAAAUUCAACAAAAUGCUGGAAGAAGAGCAAAAUAAAUAUAACGAGAUGAUCGUUGAUAAAGAGGAGUCGAUGAAGCAGCAGCUGUUGACUCAAGAGGAGACCCAUAACAAGAUGCUGGCUGAUGUUUGUCAGCGGUGGGAGAGGACAUCUCAAAAAUGGGUCCAGAUGACGGAAUUGCUGGAGCAGAAGAUCCAGGAGAGCCAACGGUUGAGGCAAGAGGAGCAGGAGAGGACCAAAGAGGAGCUCCAGAGGCUCUCUGAAGCGAUCCUCCAACUUGAGCUUCAAGUAUUAAAGAAAAAGAAGAAGAAAAGCUUCUGGAGAUGGAUCUGCAAAAGGAUGAGGUUCUGGAAAAGUUAGUGAAGAACAAUUCCAGAGCUCCCAAAGCCCUCCUCCUCCCCCUCCCCCUCCUCCUCCUCCUCCUCCCCCUCCUCCUCCUCUUCCUCCCCCUCCUCCCCCUCCUCCUCCCCUCCUCCUCCUCCUCUACAUCCUGACUUCCACAGCAUCACAUUCAAGAUUGAAGAUUUACUUUAUUCAUCCUCGUAGGGAAAUUGAAUUGUAGAAGCAGCCGUGGAUUAAUGGAUUAAUAUAACUGUAGUGCAGGUUUUGUAUUUACAAAGUAUAGAAAUAGAAUAAAUAAAUACAAAUAAGAUCAGAACGUUCUAAGCAUAUAUACAGCAUAUAAGAAUAUACUGUAUAUAAUAUAUACAUAAUAUAAUAUAUACAUAUUUUAAGCAUUAUAAGCAUAUAUACAUAAAUAUAGAAUAAAAUAUAAAUAAAAUGACAACAUAAAUAUUACAAUUAUUGUUAUUGGCUGGGUUUGGAUGAAUUAUAGAGUUUAAUGGCGGAUGGCAGGAAUGACUUCCUGUACCGUUCCUUAGAGCAUCCUGUCUUCAUCAGUUUUAUUUUACAGUAUAAUCAUUGUUUAUGUUCUCUGUUUGGAUCUGUGAUGUCGAAACAAUAAAACUUAAAGUAAAC